UAAGAAAAAAUGCACAGUAAGAUCAUAAACAGGAGUCAAAAGUCAAUUGAAAAAAGUUGUGACAGUUACGGGAAUAAUCAUGGAACAACCUAUUUGUCUUAGCCCUUUAUUCGCUGUUCUUUCUAAUUAUUAUUAAUCCUUUGAAAACCCAUUGAGGUCAAGACCUUUUUCACAAGGGUAACAAAUAUAAACAUCAGAAAUAUCUAUCUACCUACCGAUAUCUAUCGAUCUAUCAAUAACUUGGUCAUGAUUAGGAGCUACGACUACAGGGAAUCUUUGAGUGGACAGUCUGGAAUUCCAGAAAAUCAAAGUUCUGCGUGUUUGGAAGUCCAACAUGGUUUCCUUAGUUCAAUAUUUUCUUCAAAGAACUUUGUCAAGUAGUUUGUUAGGG